rnacentral:rRNA from 1 species
CUCCUACGGGAGGCAGCAGUGGGGAAUCUUGCGCAAUGGACGAAAGUCUGACGCAGCAACGCCGCGUGAGGGACGAAGGCUUUCUGAGUUGUAAACCCCUUUCGACAGGAACGAUUGUGGCGGUACCUGUACGAACGAAGCACCGGCCAACUAUGUGCCAGCAGCCGCGUAAUAC